CUACGGGAUGCACCAGUGAGGAAUAUUGGGCAAUGGAGGCAACUCUGACCCAGCCACGCCGCGUGCAGGAAGACGGCCCUCUGGGUUGUAAACUGCUUUUGUUUGGGAAUAAACCCUUCUACGUGUAGAAGGCUGAAGGUACCUUACGAAUAAGGAUCGGCUAACUCCGUGCCAGCAGCCGCGGUAAUACGGAGGAUCCGAGCGUUAUCCGGAUUUAUUGGGUUUAAAGGGUCCGUAGGCGGAUCUUUAAGUCAGUGGUGAAAGCCCACAGCUCAACUGUGGAAAUGCCAUUGAUACUGGAGAUCUUGAGUGUAGUAGAAGUAGGCGGAAUAGGGCAUGUAGCGGUGAAAUGCAUAGAUAUGCCCUAGAACACCGAUUGCGAAGGCAGCUUACUAUGUUACAACUGACGCUGAGGGACGAAAGCGUGGGGAGCAAACAGGAUUAGAUACCCCCGUAGUC
rnacentral:rRNA from 1 species